UGGGGAAUCUUGCACAAUGGGGGAAACCCUGAUGCAGCGACGCCGCGUGAACGAUGAAGCCCUUCGGGGUGUAAAGUUCUUUCGACGGGGACGAUAAUGACGGUACCCGGAGAAGAAGCUGCGGCUAACUACGUGCCAGCAGCCGCGGUAAUACGUAGGCAGCAAGCGUUGUUCGGAAUUACUGGGCGUAAAGAGUGCGUAGGUGGUUGGCCAAGUUUGGUGUGAAAUCUCCCGGCUUAACUGGGAGGGUGCGCCGAAAACUGGUUGACUAGAGUGUGGGAGAGGGACGUGGAAUUCCUGGUGUAGGGGUGAAAUGCGUAGAUAUCAGGAGGAACACCGGCGGUGUAGACGGCUUGCUAGACCAUAACUGACGCUGAGGCACGAAAGCGUGGGUA
rnacentral:rRNA from 1 species